AGAGUUUGAUUCUGGCUCAGGACGAACGCUGGCGGCGCGCCUAACACAUGCAAGUCGAACGAGAGAGAGGAAGCUUGCUUCCUCAAUCGAGUGGCGAACGGGUGAGUAACGCGUGAGGAACCUGCCUCAAAGAGGGGGACAACAGUUGGAAACGACUGCUAAUACCGCAUAAGCCCACAGGUCGGCAUCGACCAGAGGGAAAAGGAGCAAUCCGCUUUGAGAUGGCCUCGCGUCCGAUUAGCUAGUUGGUGAGGUAAUGGCCCACCAAGGCGACGAUCGGUAGCCGGACUGAGAGGUUGAACGGCCACAUUGGGACUGAGACACGGCCCAG
rnacentral:rRNA from 1 species